GGGGGUGUGGCUCAGUGGUAGAGCUCUCGCCUAGCAUGUGUGAGGCACUGGGUUCAAUCCUCAGCACCACAU
rnacentral:tRNA from 1 species